AUUGGGCGUAAGAGCUCGUAGGCGGUUUGUCGCGUCUGCCGUGAAAGUCCGGGGCUCAACUCCGGAUCUGCGGUGGGUACGGGCAGACUAGAGUGAUGUAGGGGAGACUGGAAUUCCUGGUGUAGCGGUGAAAUGCGCAGAUAUCAGGAGGAACACCGAUGGCGAAGGCAGGUCUCUGGGCAUUAACUGACGCUGAGGAGCGAAAGCAUGGGGAGCGAACAGGAUUAGAUACCCUGGUAGUCCAUGCCGUAAACGUUGGGCACUAGGUGUGGGGGACAUUCCACGUUUUCCGCGCCGUAGCUAACGCAUUAAGUGCCCCGCCUGGGGAGUACGGCCGCAAGGCUAAAACUCAAAGGAAUUGACGGGGGCCCGCACAAGCGGCGGAGCAUGCGGAUUAAUUCGAUGCAACGCGAAGAACCUUACCAAGGCUUGACAUGGACCGGACCGCCGCAGAAAUGUGGUUUCCCCUUUGGGGCCGGUUCACAGGUGGUGCAUGGUUGUCGUCAGCUCGUGUCGUGAGAUGUUGGGUUAAGUCCCGCAACGAGCGCAACCCUCGUUCCAUGUUGCCAGCGCGUAAUGGCGGGGACUCAUGGGAGACUGCCGGGGUCAACUCGGAGGAAGGUGGGGACGACGUCAAAUCAUCAUGCCCCUUAUGUCUUGGGCUUCACGCAUGCUACAAUGGCCGGUACAAAGGGUUGCGAUACUGUGAGGUGGAGCUAAUCCCAAAAAGCCGGUCUCAGUUCGGAUUGGGGUCUGCAACUCGACCCCAUGAAGUCGGAGUCGCUAGUAAUCGCAGAUCAGCAACGCUGCGGUGAAUACGUUCCCGGGCCUUGUACACACCGCCCGUCAAGUCACGAAAGUUGGUAACACCCGAAGCCGGUGGCCUAACCCCUUGUGGGAGGGAGCU
rnacentral:rRNA from 1 species